GUGCCGUGCCCUGGGGGCCCUUCCAGAGAGGGGGCAGAAGACCACGGCCCCACAUGUGGCAUCUGGCCAGGGGCUGCAGCGCCCAGCAGGUCCCUGGAGCAGAGCAGAGGCAGCCAUGACAGCCCCUCAGAUCGUGGUCACUGCCUGCACGGAUGGGGCGCUGACUGAGUCGGACCGGGAGGCCUCGGACGACGGGGGCGGCAGCCUGGGACCCAGUGCAGUGGCGUUGGAGCCUCUCGAGAAGGAGUGGCUGCAGGGCGCGGCCAGUGGCCACAUGGCUACUCUCAGCCACCUACUUCAGAAGGACCCCAUGCUUGCCAGUAAAAAGGACUUCACUUCGG